GAUGAACGCUGGCGGCGUGCCUAAUACAUGCAAGUCGAGCGAACAGACGAGGAGCUUGCUCCUCUGACGUUAGCGGCGGACGGGUGAGUAACACGUGGAUAACCUACCUCUAAGUCUGGGAUAAUUACGGGAAACCGGAGCUAAUACCGGAUAAUAUAAUGAACCGCAUGGUUCAAUAGAGAAUGACGGCUUUGCUGUCACUAAUAGAUGGAUCCGGGCCGGAUUAGCUAGUUGGUAAGGUAACGGCUUACCAAGGGAACGAUGCGUAGCCGACCUGAGGGGGGGUUCGCCCACACUGAAACUGAGCCCCGGCCCAGACCCUUACGGAAGGCAGCGGUGGGGAAUCUGGCGCAAGGGGCGAAAGCUUGACGAAGCAACGCGGGGGGGGUGAGGAAGGUCUUCGGAUGGUAAAACGCUGUUAUGGGGGAAAAACGAAUGUGUAUGUAACUAUGCAGGUCUGGCGGUAACCAAAGCAGAAGGCCCCGCCUACUUACGG
rnacentral:rRNA from 1 species